rnacentral:lncRNA from 1 species
AAGAGGGAGAUUUCACGGUGAGGAGCGAGAGAGGAAAGUGGUUAGAUCUGGAGACUGGAGAUUCUGGAAGUUUCUCGGGAUCGGUUUCGAUGGGGGAGGUAGUCUCCGAUCCGGCGGAGCCAAACCACCGUCGAAGGUCUCCUUGUCUACUCCCUACUGCUUUUCUUACUCAUGACUGACCAAGAAAUCUCUUCGAUAUAGAAAAACUCGGUUCUCUUCCUCCUUCUCAAAACAGUUCUACGGUGGCGGGUUGGCAACGGAUCUUGGAUCACCAUCUCCGUUCGGCUAGCGUCGCCCUGGCUCACCGGAGGUCCUGUUCCGGCGAGAAUCUGCAGUCUGUG